GCGGGCGUGGCGGAAUUGGCAGACGCGACAGACUUAGGAUCUGUUUCGGAAGAGUGGGAGUUCAAAUCUCUUCGCCCGCACCA
rnacentral:tRNA from 1 species